CGGACGGGUGAGUAAUGUCUGGGAAACUGCCUGAUGGAGGGGGAUAACACUGGAAACGGUAGCUAAUACCGCAUAACGUCGCAAGACCAAAGAGGGGGACCUUCGGGCCUCUUGCCAUCAGAUGUGCCCAGAUGGGAUUAGCUAGUAGGUGGGGUAACGGCUCACCUAGGCGACGAUCCCUAGCUGGUCUGAGAGGAUGACCAGCCACACUGGAACUGAGACACGGUCCAGACUCCUACGGGAGGCAGCAUG
rnacentral:rRNA from 1 species